AGCGAACGCUGGCGGCAGGCCUAACACAUGCAAGUCGAACGAAGUCUUCGGACUUAGUGGCGGACGGGUGAGGAACACGUGGGAACGCGCCUCGAGGUUCGGAAUAACUCAGGGAAAAUUGCUCUAAUACCCAUUGUGCCCUUCGGGGGCAAGACUUAUCGCCUUUAGAGCGGCUCGCGCCUGAUUAGCUAGGUGGGGCGGUAAAGGCUCACCAAGGCGACGAUCAGUAGCUGGUCUGAUAGGAUGAUCAGCCACAUUGGGACUGAGACACGGCCCAAACUGCUACGGGAGGCAGCAGUGGGGAAUCUUGCGCAAUGGGCGAAAGCAUGACGCAGCCAUGCCGCGUGAAUGAUGAAGGUCUUAGGAUUGUAAAAUUCUUUCACCGGGGACGAUAAUGACGGUACCCGGAGAAGAAGCCCCGGCUAACUUCGUGCCAGCAGCCGCGGUAAGAC
rnacentral:rRNA from 1 species